ACAGAAGCUGUGUUUCCCUCGUUUAGCAAGAAACAGCCUCAAGAGCGGCUGAUUGAUUAGGAGUCCCUCCCCCAACCCUUUUUAUUCCGACCCCCUCCCCUGCUCAGAUCACCAGGACAGAGAUCCCCCGGGGAUAAGGCAGUGGAGGAAAGCACAUCUCAUUAUACGGCAAAUGGCCGGCCUGCCGUACGUACACAAGGAGAUAUUAAACUUGCUCCUCUGUCCUCCAGCAGCUACUGUACCAGCAGUAACCCCUUCCUGGGCUGCCAUUACCGGUGCACGCGGCGACUGUUACCCCGGGGCGAGUCGUUCUAACCGGUUACACGUGGCAAGAGCCCAGAACAGGCGUGGGCGCUACAAUAGGGAUGCAAAUGGAAAGAAACCCAGGUUAUCUCAGGAGAGAUGCAUUGAUAACUAUUGUAUUGUUUUCCAACACAAAAGCUUGAAUACAUUUCCCUUAUUUUAAAGUUCCCCGUAAGUGAAAGGUAAACAAGAUCCUGGAACAAUAUUAUUUAAGUUAUAGUGGGUGAGAGGUGGGGUGUAUUUAUUGGGUUAUUGAUAUAUCGGUGCCCGUCAUCCCGGCGGUCAGCAGUAUGGGGCGAACGUAACGUAGCAGCAGGGCAAACGUAAAAAAGAGCCCCUUGCGGGCAUGCUAUGAUCGCCACACUGCAGGCACGGUCGCGUGCUACGCUAUUUAUUCUCCUUUCAGGGGUGUUGUGGACACCACAAGAGGGAACAUAGGUGUCGGUAUCCUGAUGCCAGUAUGCUGAGUGCUGGGAUCCUGACAGUCGGGAUAUUGAACGCAUCCUGUAUUUAUUGCCUGCUUUCCCCAAGGACACAACCCUUAUUUCUCCCUGGCAAGUGUAACACAACUUUCCUAAAACACAAAUGUGACACAUAAUAUAGUCCUUAGGACUCAUCUCUCAUGAUUAAAACCAGUGUAAAGGGCCCCAUACACUAGAAUUAUAAUUCCCUAUUUCAUCCGAAUUCGGGCUGAUA